AUUAACUUUCUCCUUUAAUUUCUCUCCUUUAACAUCUCCCUUAUCUCCGUGAAGAUUAUCCCCUCAUGGCCUUCACCAACAGAGUUACAGAACAAUGUUUCCUGCAAAGAAGAUGUACACCUGCUCAAAUAGUCAAAUGUGGAGCAUGCGUCGAUAAUAACAACUUAUUUCGUCUUCAUCUCUCAAUUCUUCAAUUAAUAUUUUAAUUGAUUCUUUAAUUCACUCAUCCUGAAAGACGUGGAUGAUCGGGAGAAACACUAUUCAAGCUUUUGAUUUUCCAUAUAUGAUCAAAUUUACUUCCUCGUGACGAUAACUACUUAGGAGGCACGCAAGGAGACUACUAGUUUGAGUACGUGCGCGUUCAAGGUUGGUGAAGGUGUUUGGCUACGAGUGAGGAGACGUUUAGAAUAAUCACUUAGUCAAGGGACAAUUUCUAUUCCAAUUUAAGUUGGAUUUUGUUAUUUAUUUUAUGGGGAUUAAUUAGUUGUAAUAUUUUAUUGGCCACCUUUAGACCA